AACAAACGCUGGCGGCGUGCAUAACACAUGCAAGUCUAACGGGAAUGUCGGCUUCGGCUGGCUAGUACCGUGGCGAACGGGUGAGUAACACGUGGGUAAUCUAACCUUGAGUUUGGGAUAACCUUGCGAAAGCGGGGCUAAUACCGAAUAAGACCACGCUCUGCUCGCAGAGAGCGGUAAAAGGCGGCCUCUUCAUGAAAGCUGUCACUUGAGGAUGAGCCCGCGGCCUAUUAGCUAGUUGGUGGGGUAAUGGCCUACCAAGGCGACGAUGGGUAGCCGGCCUGAGAGGGUGUACGGCCACACUGGGACUGAGACACGGCCCAGACUCCUACGGGAGGCUG
rnacentral:rRNA from 1 species